CACCUGAUCUCAUCUGAUCUCAGAGG
rnacentral:rRNA from 1 species